UGUCCCCUCUCCAUGCUCCGACGCUUUUUGCAGGAAGGCCAGGUUUCCUGUGUGAUGGAGGAGAGGGGGAUGAUGGAGAGGGGAAGAAGGAUGUGACGGCUGGGCUUGUGCACGUAGAGAUUGUACAGAUUGACUUUAUGUUUUAGCUGUGUGUGGAUGUUGUUGUGUUAUGUUGUUUUCUGCACAGGUGCAGCUUGAUGAGAUCCAUGAAGACAAGAUGCAGCAGUGGAGGAGGUGGAGGAAAGACAAUGGGACUAAGAACCAGAGCAGCCUUCUUCUACAUGGACAAACAUAUUGCAGGAGAAGAGGAGGAUGGGGGAGAGAAUAGUGGAGGGAGUGGAGUCUUCUACAUACACAACCCUCUACACAGCAGUGUCUUUUUUCCUGGAUUACUGACCCACUGAAUGUGGCCCUGGCUCAAAUCACAAGACUUACUUCACUUCAGAGAAUGAGUUUGCUGUUUCCUGUCUUUGGAUGGACCCUCAUCUUAUUGGCUACCGAAAAGGGGUGUGGUCGUUGUGGAGCAAAUUAAUGAGAGAGAACAGUGGCAUGAAGACUUUCAGUGAUGUCUCUCCUCAGGUGAGAGGGUCCCCCAGGCCAGUCUUUUCGCCACCCAUUGCAACCUUGCCAUCCCCCAGCCCUGCAUCAUCAGAAAGGGACGAACCAGGACAUGGGAGGAAGGUGUCUUUCUUUGAUGAUGUCACUGUCAAUGUGUUGGAUCAGGGAUUUGGGCCUGGUCUCCGGGAAGCAGUAUAUCCUCCUCGUCGGACUCAUUUAAGAAAAAGUCUUUGUCCAGUUCGAGCAUCCCCCCACCAGACCUCGACACCACCAUACCAGAGGUGGAGCGGUCCAUUCACCCAUGCCUGCUCACAGUUGAGACCUUCCAGUCUCUUCCUCACCCACGUCUCUGACGCUGACCUGGAGCAGUGAGGCAAGUGGUUGGAUAUACAAUCUUGUUUUUCUGUCACCAAUAGAGCCUUGACCUCCUGGGAAAAAAUACUUGUCCUCUCUCUCUCUCUCCCUCACUCUCUCUCUGUCACAUUCUGACCUUUUUUUCCUUUGUUUUGUAUUUAUU